rnacentral:rRNA from 1 species
GAUAAACGCUAGCGGCAGGCUUAACACAUGCAAGUCGAGGGGCAGCAUAGAUUGUAGCAAUACAAUUGGUGGCGACCGGCGCACGGGCGCGUAACGCGUAUGCAACCUACCCGUCACAGGGGGAUAAUCCGGAGAAAUCUGGUCUAAUACCCCAUAACAUAUGGAUCGGCAUCGGUUCAUGUUGAAAUUUUCGGAGGUGACGGAUGGGCAUGCGUAGCAUUAGCUUGUUGGUGAGGUAACGGCUCACCAAGGCGACGAUGCUUAGGGGGACUGAGAGGUUUUCCCCCCACACUGGCACUGAGACACGGACCAGACUCCUACGGGAGGCAGCAGUGAGGAAUAUUGGUCAAUGGGCGCAAGCCUAAACCAGCCAUGCCGCGUGCAGGAUGACGGCCCUAUGAGUUGUAAACUGCUUUUGUACGAGGGUAAAGUGGGUUACGUGUAACCUUUUGAAAGUAUCGUACGAAUAAGGAUCGGCUAACUCCGUGCCAGCCGCCGCCGUAA